AAAAAGAUAAGCUAAGAAAGCUACUGGGCUCAUACCUCAUUUAUAAAGGUUUUAAUCCUUUUCUUUUUA
rnacentral:tRNA from 1 species